AUUGAACGCUGGCGGCAGGCCUAACACAUGCAAGUCGAACGAGUGGCGGACGGGUGAGUAAUGUCUGGGAAACUGCCUGAUGGAGGGGGAUAACUACUGGAAACGGUAGCUAAUACCGCAUAAUCUCAGAUGCGCCCAGAUGGGAUUAGCUUGCUGGUGGGGUAACGGCUCACCAAGUCGACGAUCCCUAGCUGGUCUGAGAGGAUGAGCGGCCACACUGGAACUGAGACACGGUCCAGACUCCUACGGGAGGCAGCAGUGGGGAAUAUUGCACAAUGGGCGCAAGCCUGAUGCAGCCAUGCCGCGUGUAUGAAGAAGGCCUUCGGGUGGUAAAGUACUUUCAGCGGUGAAGCGUUACCCGCAGAAGAAGCACCGGCUAACUCCGUGCCAGCCGCCGCGGUAAUAC
rnacentral:rRNA from 1 species